AGCGAACGCUGGCGGCAGGCCUAACACAUGCAAGUCGAACGGAUCCUUCGGGAUUAGUGGCGGACGGGUGAGUAACACGUGGGAACGUGCCCUUUGGUUCGGAACAACUCAGGGAAACUUGAGCUAAUACCGGAUGUGCCCUUCGGGGGAAAGAUUUAUCGCCAUUGGAGCGGCCCGCGUCUGAUUAGCUAGUUGGUGAGGUAAAGGCUCACCAAGGCGACGAUCAGUAGCUGGUCUGAGAGGAUGAUCAGCCACAUUGGGACUGAGACACGGCCCAAACUCCUACGGGAGGCAGCAGUGGGGAAUCUUGCGCAAUGGGCGAAAGCCUGACGCAGCCAUGCCGCGUGAAUGAUGAAGGUCUUAGGAUUGUAAUAUUCUUUCACCGGGGACGAUAAUGACGGUACCCGGAGAAGAAGCCCCGGCUAACUUCGUGCCAGCCGCCGCUGUAAAAC
rnacentral:rRNA from 1 species